rnacentral:rRNA from 1 species
GGGGGGGGGGGGGGGGGGGGGGGGGGGGGGGGGGGCGGGCGGGGGCGGGGGGGUGGGGGCGCUGGUUGGUGAGGGGGGGGAACGGGGGAGUGACACGGGGGGAACCUGUCCUUUUCUGGGGGAUAAGCAUUCGAAAGGGUGUUUAAUACCUUAUGUUCUGUCUGCCUCGCAUGGGGUGGGUGGGAAAGGCUUUGGCCGGAUUUGGGUGGGCUCGCGGUCUAUCAGCUUGUUGGUGGGGUGAUGGCUUACCAAGGCUUUGACGGGUAGCCGGCCUGAGAGGGUGGUCGGUCACAUUGGGACUGAGAUACGGCCAAGAGUCCUGCGGGAGGCAGCAGUGGGGGAUAUUGCACAAUGGGCGAAAGCCUGAUGCAGCGACGCCGCGUGGGGGAUGAAGGCCUUCGGGUUGUAAACUUCUUUUGCUCUGAACAAGGCAUGCCAGUGGGUGUGUUGAGUGGAGGGGUUGAUUAGCGCCGGCUAACUACGUG